rnacentral:rRNA from 1 species
UUUUUAUGGAGAGUUUGAUCCUGGCUCAGGAUGAACGCUGGCGGCGUGCCUAAUACAUGCAAGUCGAGCGAACAGACGAGGAGCUUGCUCCUCUGACGUUAGCGGCGGACGGGUGAGUAACACGUGGAUAACCUACCUAUAAGACUGGGAUAACUUCGGGAAACCGGAGCUAAUACCGGAUAAUAUAUUGAACCGCAUGGUUCAAUAGUGAAAGACGGUUUUGCUGUCACUUAUAGUUGGAUCCGCGCCGCAUUAGCUAGUUGGUAAGGUAACGGCUUACCAAGGCAACGAUGCGUAGCCGACUGAGAGGGUGAUCGGCCACACUGGAACUGAGACACGGUCCAGACUCUACGGGAGCAGCAGUAGGG